AGGGUCAAGAGCCUGCUAAGAUGUGUCC
rnacentral:piRNA from 1 species